UUUAUAUUGGCAGAUUAGUGCAUUAAACUUAGAAUUUAAAUAAAUAAAUUAAUAAAUUUAUAUAUAAAA
rnacentral:tRNA from 1 species